ACGUCAUCGCCACGCGACGCCGACCCCGACCCGCCGGGAGCCGCGGCAGCCUCCGCCCCCCCCGGCGAACCUGGCGGGACGGCCUCGGCAGGGAAACACGGGGGGCGGGAGGAAUCGCGGACCUGCCCGCACCGCCGCGCAGCUCUGUCCCCCGCUGCCGCCGGCUGUGCCUUCGUCUCCGGAUUCCGAAGAAUCCGAUUUCGAGGGCAGACAGAGGGGUUCAAAGGACCAGGCGCAGCUGCAAGAACUGCUGCGGAGAUUGAAAGCUUUGGAGGCAUCUGUGGCAGAAAAAGAGCAGAGGCGGCAAGAGCCCUCUGCACCCCCUCUGCCACUGCCGGUUCCCCCUAUCCCUCCUCAGGCGCAGGCUCCCCCAAACCCUUUUCUGUCCAUUCCACCACCUCCGCAAAACCCACUCAUGGAGUGGGGAGAGGGUGGGACCGCGCUGGGAGGAUCCGUAAAUCUGCCCUUUGGGAAUUCAGGGGCUGGCGCGAGUAGGGAGAAUCCGGAGCAGAGAUGGAAGAGAAUUCUGCGAGAUGCUAUGAUGGAGGGAGAGCUUUUGUCGUUAACUCCUGACACACUUUCAGUUAUACUAGGCAGGGGGGGAAACAGGAGAUAUCAGGCUUUAGAGUGGAUGCUAAAAGAAGCUAAGGCUGCGAUAGCUCAGUAUGGGUUAAAAUCGGGUUAUACUACAUCCCUGUUACAGCAUUUGUUUUCUUCCACAUUGAUGACACCCCGUGACACGAAAAUGAUCGUUAGCACGUUGCUCUCUCCCCACCAGAAGUUCGAGUUUUAUCAGAAAUGGCAGGCAGGGUGUGAUGCAGCAGCUGCGACCCCCAGACAACAGGGGAAUCCUCUCUUUGGGGUAACGACUCAAAUGCUCAUGGGAACGGGUCCUUUUGCACGGGCAGACUCACAGGUACCGCUUGUCAACAAAGUAUUGCAGCUCAGCCAGGAGCUGGCACAAAAAGCAGUACAGGCAGUGUCUGAUGAUAAGACAGCUCUGUCUUUUACUACAGUGCGGCAGGGGCCAACAGAGCCAUUUGGGAAGUUUAUUGAUCAGUUGCAUCAUGCAAUUAAUACCCAUCCUGACCUAGGUGAGAACAUGAAGGCCAAAUUUUUGGACUUUUUAGCCUAUGACAAUGGCAAUGAAAAAACUAAACGAGCUUUGAGUGACCUGCCACGAGGUGCUACGAAGGCUCAGUUAUUAGAAGCUGCAGACAGAAUGGUUCAACAGGAGGAAGCUCCUUACAUGGCUACAGCUGUCGGAGCAGCAGCGAAGCUGUUGGUGCAAAAGAGAAAUAAACCAGGCAAAGGGAGGACAGAGAAAAAAUGCUUUAACUGCGGGCAAAAGGGACAUUUUAAAGCUCGGUGUCCUGCAGGUCAAAGGGGUGGUGGGCCUCAGGGAGCUGCUGUUCCAAAGUGGUGUGCAAAUUGUGAGAAGGAUAACCAUGACACGCACGAGUGUAGGUGGAAGGGAAACGGGAGGCUGAGUGUGCCAACCCCUCACACCUCACACGAUGACAGCAAGUCAGGGUGCCUGGACAGCUGCCACGCAGCCACCACCGGCACCACCGGAGUGCACUUGGCAACAGCAGCAGAUGUCACUCUCCAGACACAACAGGUAGUGGUCGUAGAUUCGGUCUUAAGGGGACCCUUAGGCCUUAGUGCCUUUUUAAUAGGGAGAUAUUCCAUGUAUCAACAAGGUAUUCUUGUUGUUCCAGAAUUGAUUGACGCUGAUUAUUUGGGUGUUGUCAAAAUUAAGGAUGGCAGGUCGGUGGGAACCAGGCCGUACGUUCUGGCACUGCGUGUUCCAUUGCUGGGAAGGGACGUGUUGGGUCAGCUGGGAGCAAGGCUGGUGACAGACCCCUUUUAGGGGCGGUCACUGAGAGGCAGCCAGCCCUGAAACUGAGGUGGAAGACAGACACCCCCCGUCUGGGUAAACCAGUGGAAGGCAAUAGGCUGCAGACUGUUCAGUUGUUGGUCCAAGAGCAGCUUGAUGCAGGGCAUAUUGUACCAUCCGCUAGUCCCUGGAACACCCCAAUUUUUACCAUCCCCCAAAAAGUCUGGAAAGUGAUGUCUUUUACACAAUCUCCGUGCCAUUAAUGAGGUCAUGGAGGACAUGGGAGCGCUACAACCAGGACUCCCAUCCCCUGUCAUGAUUCCAAAAGAUUGGGACAUCAUAACUAUUGACUUGAAAGAUUGCUUUUUUACGGUCUUUUUGCAUCCUCAGGAUGCAGAGAGGUUUGCCUUUAGUGUGCCUUCCACCAAUAAGGCCGAACCUGCCAAACUUUAUCACUGGGUGACUUUGCCCCAAGGCAUGAAAAACUCUCCCACGUUGUGUCAGAUGUACCUUGCACGGGCAUUGCAACCUUGCAGAAAGGAACGUCCCCAUUUGCUAGUGUAUCACUGUGUAGAUGAUAUUCUGAUUGCAGGAAAACAGCUGGAGGUAAAUCUGAUCCUGGCUGAGCUGCAGGUACAGCUGGAGAAGCGAGGGUUAAAAAUUGCACCAGAAAAGUGAUCCAUGGAAGUGUCUGGGAUGGAUCAUCACCCAGGGAACAGCACGCCCCCGGAAAAUUGAUGUAAACACACAGUUAUCAACUUUAGCAGAUGUGCAGCAACUAAUGGGAGAUAUUCAGUGGGUUAGACCUGUGUGUGGAAUCACCAACGACGACAUACGUCCUCUUAUGCCACUGCUGGGUACAUCUACUGAUGCAGGUGAGUGCAAGGAACUCACUGCACUGCCAAAGAAGGCUUUACAAAAAAUAGCAGACAAAGUAGCUUCAGGAUAUGGCAAUCACAUAAUAGCAGAGCGUGCAGUGACUGUGAUGAUUAUUAACUCAGGAGGGGAAAAACAGCACCCCCUUGGGUUAAUUUGUCAGUUAGCAGGUAAUAAGAAACUGAAUAUCUUGGAAUGGGGAUGUGUUGCCUGAAUCUAUGUGACCACUGAGAAAGCAUCUCUAAACAGCUUCAAGAGAUGAAGGAGCGCAUGUCUCACAUCACCUAUGACAAGAACAAACUGUCCAACUGGCUAGGCAAGUUUGGCAUCACUGGCUGGGUGAAAGGAUUAGUAAUUUAGGGGUUGACACUUUUAAUAGCUAUAAUUUGUUGUGUAGUAACUGUUAGUUGUGCUUUACAGUAUGUAAUGAAAAUGUUCCACAAAGCUUUCAAUUAAAUAUGGAUUGUUGUGGGAAAACUAGAGAUAAAGGGACACCUGCAAAAUCCCGGGAAAAUCCCUAAAGGCGGAUGGACAGGAGGGACUUUGGGUGGCAAAAAUGAUCUCAGACCGGGUGGACAGAGCUUCAGAGCCAAUAAACCAAAGGCGUGAGACGCGUGCACAGACCGAGGUACCCAAUCACCUUGUUGUAAGCACGUACCCAGAACAAACUAAACUGUAUAAAAGUCAUUUAAAUAAUAAAUUGGACAUCGCUUUGA